rnacentral:rRNA from 1 species
CCUACGGGUGGCAGCAGUGAGGAAUAUUGGUCAAUGGACGAGAGUCUGAACCAGCCAAGUAGCGUGAAGGAUGACUGCCCUAUGGGUUGUAAACUUCUUUUAUAAAGGAAUAAAACGAGGCACGUGUGCCUGGUGGCAUGUACUUUAUGAAUAAGGAGCGGCUAACUCCGUGCCAGUAGCCGCGGUAAUACGGAGGAUCCGAGCGUGAGCCGGAUUUAUUGGGUUUAAAGGGAGCGUAGAUGGGGUGUUAAGUCAGUUGUGAAAGUUUGCGGCUCAACCGUAAAAUUGCAAUUGAUACUGGCAGUCUUGAGUACUGUUGCGGUAGGCGGCAUUCGUGGUGUAGCGGUGCACUGCUUAGCUAUCACG